rnacentral:rRNA from 1 species
GACGAACGCUGGCGGCGUGCUUAACACAUGCAAGUCGAAAGAAGUGGCGAACGGGUGAGUAACGCGUAAUAAACCUGCCCUUCAGAGGGGGACAACAGUUGGAAACGACUGUUAAUAACGCAUACUGAAGGAGGGGAUUGCGUCGGAUUAGCUAGUUGGAGGGGUAACGGCCCACCAAGGCGAUGAUCAGUAGCCGGUCUGGGAGGAUGAACGGCCACAUUGGGACUGAGAAACGGCCCAGACUCCUACGGGAGGCAGCAGUGGGGAAUCUUCCGCAAUGGACGAAAGUCUGACGGAGCAACGCCGCGUGAGUUAUGACGGCCUUCGGGUUGUAAAGCUCUGUUAAUCGGGACGCGGUACCGGAAUAGAAAGCCACGGCUAACUACGUGCCAGCAGCCGCGGUAAUUC